rnacentral:rRNA from 1 species
GGCUUAGAGUUUGAUCAUGGCUCAGGAUGAACGCUGGCGGCGUGCCUAACACAUGCAAGUCGAACGAAGCACUUUAUUACGAUUUCUUCGGAAUGACGAUUUGGUGACUGAGUGGCGGACGGGUGAGUAACGCGUGGAUAACCUGCCCCAUACAGGGGGAUAACAGUUAGAAAUGACUGCUAAUACCGCAUAAGCGCACAGUAUCGCAUGAUACGGUGUGAAAAACUCCGGUGGUAUGGGAUGGAUCCGCGUCUGAUUAGCCAGUUGGCGGGGUAGAGGCCCACCAAAGCGACGAUCAGUAGCCGACCUGAGAGGGUGACCGGCCACAUUGGGACUGAGACACGGCCCAAACUCCUACGGGAGGCAGCAGUGGGGAAUAUUGCACAAUGGGGGAAACCCUGAUGCAGCGACGCCGCGUGAGCGAAGAAGUAUUUCGGUAUGUAAAGCUCUAUCAGCAGGGAAGAAGAAUGACGGUACCUGACUAAGAAGCUCCGGCUAAAUACGUGCCAGCAGCCGCGGUAAUACGUAUGGAGCAAGCGUUAUCCGGAUUUACUGGGUGUAAAGGGAGCGUAGGCGGUGCUAUAAGUCUGAUGUGAAGGCCCGGGGCUCAACCGCGGGACUGCAUUGGAAGCUGUAGGACUGGAGUGUCGGAGGGGUAAGUG